rnacentral:rRNA from 1 species
UUGAGCCUACGGGAGGCAGCAGUGGGGAAUAUUGCGCAAUGGGCGAAAGCCUGAUGCAGCGACGCCGCGUGUGGGAAGACGGUCCUCUGGAUUGUAAACCACUGUCCCCAGGGACGAAGAUGACGGUACCUGGGGAGGAAGCUCCGGCUAACUACGUGCCAGCAGCCGCGGUAAUACGUAGGGAGCGAGCGUUGUCCGGAAUUACUGGGUGUAAAGGGGGCGUAGGCGGGGAUGCAAGUUGGGUGUCAAAACUACCGGCUCAACUGGUAGGCGCACCCAAAACUGCAGCUCUU